rnacentral:rRNA from 1 species
AUGGAGUGCAACAAGUAUUCCGAAGGCAACAUUUAUAUGCAGCAUAGCCUGGAUGUCUGGGGUAGCAUUGGAAACAACCACAUAAAGGGCCUAAAUAAUCAAGUAGGUAUGCUUCUAAAGUGGCAGUGGACUAAAGAUGAGCAUAGGGUUGUAUACACCAUGCUUAGAAAGGAUGUCUCGGACAGUGUUGAAUGA